rnacentral:lncRNA from 1 species
AAUUUUUCUCGGAAACUCUCUUAGGCUAAUUUUGACUCCCCGAGUCCAUUUUUGGCAUCUAUUUAGUGAAAUUCCAAAGUUUUAACGUAGUUGGCCAACUCGAAGGCUUAGUUGACUUUUCGUUGACUUUUACAAAAUUUAUCUGGGACCCUCCUUAGCGCAUUUCGACACCCAAAUUCCAAAUCCGCAUUCCGAUUUUCCAAAUUUAAUUGUUUUAGUGAAGUUUUACUAAUGGGUCCCAAUAUUAUCCUUAGGUGUGAUUACUAUAGGAGACUCUGGCUUUCCUAGUUCGAAUGCCUACGACCUCACAAGUAUCUAUGAGUGGGCCUUUUCUUUUAUAUAGUAUAUAUAUUUGCUUAGUUUUCACAUAUGUAUUUAAUAAUAAAUUUCCUACAUGAUUACCAUAAUUAAAUUAACGUUUAUAAGAAAGGUCGUAAUGUUAAGAAUUAUGAAAUUUUUCUGAAUCCUGCGGGAUACAUAGGUAUGCGUACUAUUAUGGGAUGCCUUAAUUAUAUUUGCGGCCAUGAAUAGUGUUAUGUUCACUAGAAUUAUCGAUUUACCGUUGCAUGAUCAUAUUUACGUUAUCUACUCAUCGUGUGUUGCAAUGGUGUUAGUACU